GACGAACGCUGGCGGCGUGCCUAAUACAUGCAAGUAGAACGCACAGUUUAUACCGUAGCUUGCUACACCAUACACUGUGAGUUGCGAACGGGUGAGUAACGCGUAGGUAACCUGCCUGGUAGCGGGGGAUAACUAUUGGAAACGAUAGCUAAUACCGCAUAAUAUUAAUUAUUGCAUGAUAAUUGAUUGAAAGAUGCAAUUGCAUCACUACCAGAUGGACCUGCGUUGUAUUAGCUAGUAGGUGAGGUAACGGCUCACCUAGGCGACGAUACAUAGCCGACCUGAGAGGGUGAUCGGCCACACUGGGACUGAGACACGGCCCAGACUCCUACGGGAGGCAGCAGUAGGGAAUCUUCGGCAAUGGACGAAAGUCUGACCGAGCAACGCCGCGUGAGUGAAGAAGGUUUUCGGAUCGUAAAGCUCUGUUGUAAGAGAAGAACGGGUGUGAGAGUGGAAAGUUCACAAUGUGACGGUAUCUGACCAGAAAGGGACGGCUAACUACGUG
rnacentral:rRNA from 1 species